GACGGACGCUGGCGGCGUGCUUAACACAUGCAAGUCGAACGGAAAGGCCCUGCUUUUGUGGGGUGCUCGAGUGGCGAACGGGUGAGUAACACGUGAGUAACCUGCCCUUGACUUUGGGAUAACUUCAGGAAACUGGGGCUAAUACCGGAUAGGAGCUCCUGCUGCAUGGUGGGGGUUGGAAAGUUUCGGCGGUUGGGGAUGGACUCGCGGCUUAUCAGCUUGUUGGUGGGGUAGUGGCUUACCAAGGCUUUGACGGGAAGCCGGCCUGAGAGGGUGACCGGCCACAUUGGGACUGAGAUACGGCCCAGACUCCUACGGGAGGCAGCAGUGGGGAAUAUUGCACAAUGGGCGGAAGCCUGAUGCAGCAACGCCGCGUGCGGGAUGACGGCCUUCGGGUUGUAAACCGCUUUCGCCUGUGACGAAGCGUGAGUGACGGUAAUGGGUAAAGAAGCACCGGCUAACUACGUG
rnacentral:rRNA from 1 species